rnacentral:lncRNA from 1 species
UGUGACAAACUAUUAAGCAACACCAUCCUUAGACCCAGGCGAGGGCAGUCUCUGCCGUUGCUUAGCAGGGCCCUAAUCUGUCCUUCUUGAAGUCGCAGUCCUGGCCCACAGAUGACUGAAAUGACCAAAGAACUAGAAAAAAAUCCUUGCAUACCCACCUGCCAUAGUGUCCUAGAGCUGCCAUAACAAAGCACCGCACAUUGGGUGGUUACAGCAACAGAAAUUUAUUCUCUCCCAGUUCCAGAAGUUGGAAGUCAAGGUAUCAGUCGGGCCAGGCUCCCCCAGAGGCUGCAGGGGAGAAUCCUCCUUCACCACUUCCAGCUCCUGAAGGCUGCGGGCAAGGCUUGCAUUGCUCAACUCCUAUGCAGCUUCCCCCUUCCAGUCUCUGCCUUCAUCUUCACAUGGGCUUCUUCCUUCUGAGUGUAUCUCGGUGUAGUCUCUCCUCGUCUUAGAAGGACAGCAGUCACUGGACUUAGAGCGCACCAUACCCCUGUAUGAUAUCCUCUCAACAGUUACAUCUGCAAACACCCCAUUUCCAGUUAAGGUCACAUCCUGAGGUUCCUGGUGGAUGUGGAGUUUGGGGAGACAUUAUUCAACCCUGUACAAAGACUCUUGUUUUUUGUUUCUGUCUCUGUUUCUUUGUCUCUGUCAUUCUCUCUUCUUUGCAGGAUGAGUUAGCUUUGUAAAAAUUAAUUGGGACACUUUUAAAUUUUUUAUACCCUGAAAACAAUUCGAUCAUAUAGAAAUUCUCUCUUCCUUUAAGGUUUGACAGAAUUUGCCCAACGCCUCCCCCAAAUUGCCUAAGUUCACGUUUCAUCAAAGUCUUGCAGAGUUCUUUAUCAGCUGCUUCUGUGACUUUUCAUCUUGUUGAAUUUUUCUGCCUAUUCUUGAGUGGAUUAUAUUGUCUUAUUUUGGUUAAUAUUUUAUUAGCAUAAAUUUAAACACAGUGUGCUUUUAGCUUGAAUCCUCUUUCAUGUCUUUGUCUCUCAUCCCUUUUAUAUUUCUAGAGCUGUUUAUUUGCAUUUUUUUCUUUUUUUUCCUCAUGCAAACUUGCCAGAGGUUUGUCUCAUUUAUUGGUCUUUUUUUUUUUUUUUUUUUUUUUUUUUUUUUUUUUUUUUUUUUUUUUGCACAUGGUUCCUAGUCGGAUUCGUUUCCACUGUGCCACGAUGGGAACUCCUUAUUGAUCUUUUAAAAGAGUUAGCUCUUUGAUUUGUCUUAUCAAUUCUAUUGUUUUCUGUUUUCUAAUUUGCUUUUGUCUGCUUUUCUCUUUCCUUCUUUCCUUCUGCCACCCUUAGAUUUAUUUUAUUAGUUUUUAAUCUCAGUUGUUUAGUUAAUUGCUUUUUUAUUCAUUUUUAUCUUAUAACAAAACCACUUAGCUUUAUCUUU